ACAUAUGCCAAUUUGGUUCUUUCUUCUUUUUUUCCUUUUUUGCUUUAUUCAUCAACUCAAUAAAAUUACAGUUGCAAAUGGUCGAAGUUAUGGAACUUUCUUAGCAGAGAAUUGGUAAUUAAAUUAGUGGGAACUUCGUCUUUCUGGAGGUCCAAUAAAUAGCUGUGUCUCUACAUCCAUUGUCUGUCUCUGAAGAUGUUCUUCUUCUUGUCGAUCAAUAAAUAAAGGCAGCGGUCGGACCUCAUACUGAAAAAUAGAGAAUAUUUAGGUUUUGUUAAAUAGCAUUGAAAUAGUACUCAUAAAAAAAUGGAGACAAGUGAACACUACUAAAUAGAACAUUUUACAAUACAAACUGCAACUCCAUGAAGACGCAGAGUGUGAGAUGUAUAGGAUUUCACUACCCUGGCCAGAUGUCUCGGGUUUAAACUCUAGAAAUGAAAUAAUUCUGGCAGGGGUGCUACCCCUUUUAGGACCUUACCAUGGAGCGAAUUCAAAUAAAUCUGGACCUCUAGCUUGAGGGCACCGGACUCCACGUGGGAAACCAAAAAUAAAAUAAAAAUGCGUGAAGAUACUUACACAAAUUGUG
rnacentral:lncRNA from 1 species